rnacentral:rRNA from 1 species
CCUACGGGGGGCAGCAGUGAGGAAUAUUGGUCAAUGGGCGGAAGCCUGAACCAGCCAAGUAGCGUGCAGGAUGACGGCCCUACGGGUUGUAAACUGCUUUUAUACGGGAAUAACGCGCCUCACGUGUAGGUCUUUGCAUGUACCGUAUGAAUAAGGAUCGGCUAACUCCGUGCCAGCAGCCGCGGUAAUACGGAGGAGGCAAGCGUUAUCCGGAUUUAUUGGGGGUAAAGGGAACGCAGGGGGGUUUUUAAGUCAGUUGUGAAAGUCUUCGGCUUAACCGGAGUAGUGCAUUGGAAACUGGGAGACUUGAGUGCAGUAGAGGUAAGUGGAACUCGAUGUGUAGCGGUGAAAUGCGUAGAUAUAUCGAAGAACUCCGAUGGCGAAGGCAGCUCACUGGUCUGCAACUGACGCUGAGGUUCGAAAGCGUGGGUAGCAAACAGGAUUAGAUACCCCGGUAGUC